AUGCAUUGGUUUGCCUGGUGGAGGUUGUGCAUACCAAAGAAGGAGGGGGGAUUGGGUUUUAGAGACUUGCACAAUUUUAAGCUUGCUUUAUUAGCAAAACAGUGCUGGCGACUAAUCCAGAACCCGGAGUCUUUGUGUGCUCAAGUUUUGAAGGCAAAAUAUUACCCAGAUGGGGACAUUCUGAAGGCUGGCCCCAAGAGGGGCUCUUCUUACACUUGGCAAAGUAUUGUUGCAGGUAUUCAGACGUUCAAGAGGGGCUGCAUUUGGCGAGUUGGAACUGGAUCUAAUAUCAGUAUUUGGAAUGAUCCUUGGAUACCAGCAAGUGCCACUAGAAAACUGAUCACAAAUAGAGGUGCCACAAUGCUAUCAAAGGUUGAUGAGUUGAUAGACCCGCAUACGAGACAGUCGGAUGAGGAGCUAAUCCGGGACAUCUUUUCCCCGGUUGAUGUUAACAGGAUUCUACAGACCCCUUUAAAUACUCACUUGGUGGAAGAUUUUGUGGCGUGGAACUUCACACGGUCAGGCAAUUUUACUAUGCGUUCAGCUUACCAUAAGGAGUUCGAACACCAGUAUGGCACGAGGUGGAGGCGAGCUGAUGGGCAAGGUUUAGAAAAUAUUAAUCCAGUGUGGAAGGACAUGUGGAAACCAAAGAUACCUGGGAAGAUAAAACACUUCGGUUGGAAAGUUUUGCAUGGUUCACUUCCUUGCUUGGGCGUUUUGGCAAAUAGACAUAUUCCAUGCUCAGGGCUCUGUCCGGUUUGCAAGACUGGAGCAUAAGAUAUACAACACGUUUUUUUGUGUCCGCGAGCAACAUCAAUAUGGAGACAACUGGGUCUUGAGAGUUUUGUAAAAGAAGCGGUGGCAGAAGACAGGUCAGGCUCCAUCACCAUGGAAAUCCUAUCUAAAUUACAGGGCGAUGAUCAUGAGUUGCCAAGAGCUGAACUAUCGCUGGUUACGGCGUGGUAUAUAUGGUGGCAGCUGCGGCAGAUCAUUAAGGGAAUAGCGGUCCAAGAUCCAUUGAAAGCAGCCUUAGCGAUCAGAGUUCUGACGACGAACUUCUUGAGAUCAAUGGCUUCUAAGGGCCCAACAAGGACAAGUGAUCAUAUGUGGAAGAAGCCAGGUUUUGGAAUACUGAAGAUUAAUGUUGAUGCUUCGUUCCAUUAUGAUACACUCUCGGGUGCAAGUGGUGUAGUGGCUCAUGAUGACCGGGGUGAUUUUGUUGCAGUAGCAAAUUGGUAUAUCCUUAUUGUUGGGGAACGUUGCAGAAAAUAA
rnacentral:rRNA from 1 species